CAAUGGGCGCAAGCCUGAUGCAGCGACGCCGCGUGAGGGAUGACAGCCUUCGGGUUGUAAACCUCUUUCGCCAGGGACGAAGCGCAAGUGACGGUACCUGGAGAAGAAGGACCGGCCAACUACGUGCCAGCAGCCGCGGUAAUACGUAGGGUCCGAGCGUUGUCCGGAAUUACUGGGCGUAAAGAGCUCGUAGGUGGUUUGUCGCGUUGUUCGUGAAAACUCACAGCUCAACUGUGGGCGUGCGGGCGAUACGGGCAGACUGGAGUACUGCAGGGGGAGACUGGAAUUCCUGGUGUAGCGGUGGAAUGCGCAGAUAUCAGGAGGAACACCGGUGGCGAAGGCGGGUCUCUGGGCAGUAACUGACGCUGAGGAGCGAAAGCGUGGGGAGCGAACAGGAUUAGAUACCCUGGUAGUCCACGCCGUAAACGGUGGGUACUAGGUGUGGGUUUCCUUCCUUGGGAUCCGUGCCGUAGCUAACGCAUUAAGUACCCCGCCUGGGGAGUACGGCCGCAAGGCUA
rnacentral:rRNA from 1 species